GACGAGGGGUCCAAGCGUUGUUCGGAAUCAUUGGGCGUAAAGCGGAUGUAGGUGGCUCUAUAAGUCAGGAGUGAAAGCCCUAAGCUUAACUUAGGAAGUGCUUUUGAUACUGCAGAGCUUGAAUGUGGGAGAGGAUCGUAGAAUUCCUGGUGUAGUGGUGAAAUACGUAGAUAUCAGGAGGAAUACCGGAGGCGAAGGCGGCGAUCUGGCCCAACAUUGACACUGAGAUCCGAAAGCGUGGGGAUCAAACAGG
rnacentral:rRNA from 1 species